GGACUACCGGGGUUUCUAAUCCUGUUUGCUCCCCACGCUUUCGUACCUCAGCGUCAGUACAGGCCCAGGAGGUUGCCUUCGCCAUCGGUGUUCUUCCGGAUAUCUACGCAUUUCACCGCUACACCCGGAGUUCCGCCUCCCUCUACCGUACUCUAGUCCGCCAGUAUCGACUGCAGUUCCCAGGUUAAGCCCAGGGAUUUCACAACCGACUUAGCGAGCCGCCUACGCACGCUUUACGCCCAGUAAAUCCGAUUAACGCUUGCACCCUCUGUAUUACCGCGGCGGCUGGCAC
rnacentral:rRNA from 1 species